UACGUAGGGUGCGAGCGUUAAUCGGAAUUACUGGGCGUAAAGCGUGCGUAGGCGGUCCGCGAAGUCUGAUGUGAAAGCCCCGGGCUCAACCUGGGAACUGCAUUGGAAACUAACGGGCUCGAGUGUGGCAGAGGGGGGUGGAAUCCACGUGUAGCAGUGAAAUGCGUAGAGAUGUGGAGGAACACCGAUGGCGAAGGCAGCCCCCUGGGCUAACACUGACGCUCGAGGCACGAAAGCGUGGGGAGCAAACAGG
rnacentral:rRNA from 1 species